rnacentral:rRNA from 1 species
UACGUAGGGUGCGAGCGUUGUCCGGAAUUAUUGGGCGUAAAGGGCUCGUAGGCGGUUUGUCGCGUCGGGAGUGAAAACACUGGGCUUAACUCAGUGCUUGCUUCCGAUACGGGCAGACUAGAGGUAUUCAGGGGAGAACGGAAUUCCUGGUGUAGCGGUGAAAUGCGCAGAUAUCAGGAGGAACACCGGUGGCGAAGGCGGCUACCUGGACAGAAACUGACGCUGAGGCGCGAAAGCUAGGGGAGCAAACAGG